GGAGAGAUGGCUGAGUUGGAUGAAGGCGCUCGCCUGGAAAGCGAGUAGGCGGCUUUAACCCCGUCUCGAGGGUUCGAAUCCCUCUCUCUCCG
rnacentral:tRNA from 1 species